rnacentral:rRNA from 1 species
AUUGAACGCUGGCGGCAGGCUUAACACAUGCAAGUCGAGCGGAGAUGAGGUGCUUGCACCUUAUCUUAGCGGCGGACGGGUGAGUAAUGCUUAGGAAUCUGCCAUUUAGUGGGGGACAACAUUCCGAAAGGAAUGCUAAUACCGCAUACGUCCUACGGGAGAAAGCAGGGGAUCUUCGGACCUUGCGCUAAAUGAUGAGCCUAAGUCGGAUUAGCUAGUUGGUGGGGUAAAGGCCUACCAAGGCGACGAUCUGUAGCGGGUCUGAGAGGAUGAUCCGCCACACUGGGACUGCGACACGGCCCAGACUCCUACGGGGGGCAGCAGUGGGGAAUAUUGGACAAUGGGCGGAAGCCUGAUCCAGCCAUGCCGCGUGUGUGAAGAAGGCCUUUUGGUUGUAAAGCACUUUAAGCGAGGAGGAGGCUACCUGGAUUAAUACUCUGGGAUAGUGGACGUUACUCGCAGAAUAAGCACCGGCUAACUCUGUGCCAGCAGCCGCAGUAAAAC